rnacentral:rRNA from 1 species
AGCGAACGCUGGCGGCAGGCUUAACACAUGCAAGUCGAGCGGGCGUAGCAAUACGUCAGCGGCAGACGGGUGAGUAACGCGUGGGAACGUACCUUUUGGUUCGGAACAACACAGGGAAACUUGUGCUAAUACCGGAUAAGCCCUUACGGGGAAAGAUUUAUCGCCAAAAGAUCGGCCCGCGUCUGAUUAGCUAGUUGGUGAGGUAAUGGCUCACCAAGGCGACGAUCAGUAGCUGGUCUGAGAGGAUGAUCAGCCACAUUGGGACUGAGACACGGCCCAAACUCCUACGGGAGGCAGCAGUGGGGAAUAUUGGACAAUGGGCGCAAGCCUGAUCCAGCCAUGCCGCGUGAGUGAUGAA